UUUGACUCGAGAUAUUGUUGCGGUUCAACCUCGUCAUUCAAGUCGUCUGUGAAUUUCGACUCAAUGGUUUGGUUGAGCCGCGUCAAUAUCGCGGUCAAACUU
rfam:Helianthus annuus linkage group 13, whole genome shotgun sequence.